rnacentral:rRNA from 1 species
GCUCGUACGAUGACGAGUGGCGGACGGGUGAGUAAUGCUUGGGAACUUGCCUUUGCGAGGGGGAUAACAGUUGGAAACGACUGCUAAUACCGCAUAAUGUCUUCGGACCAAACGGGGCUUCGGCUCCGGCGCAAAGAGAGGCCCAAGUGAGAUUAGCUAGUUGGUAAGGUAACGGCUUACCAAGGCGACGAUCUCUAGCUGUUCUGAGAGGAAGAUCAGCCACACUGGGACUGAGACACGGCCCAGACUCCUACGGGAGGCAGCAGUGGGGAAUAUUGCACAAUGGGGGAAACCCUGAUGCAGCCAUGCCGCGUGUGUGAAGAAGGCCUUCGGGUUGUAAAGCACUUUCAGUUGUGAGGAAAAGUUAGUAGUUAAUACCUGCUAGCCGUGACGUUAACAACAGAAGAAGCACCGGCUAACUCCGUGCCAGCAGCCGCGGUAAUACGGAGGGUGCGAGCGUUAAUCGGAAUUACUGGGCGUAAAGCGCACGCAGGCGGUUUGUUAAGCUAGAUGUGAAAGCCCCGGGCUCAACCUGGGAUGGUCAUUUAGAACUGGCAGACUAGAGUCUUGGAGAGGGGAGUGGAAUUCCAGGUGUAGCGGUGAAAUGCGUAGAUAUCUGGAGGAACAUCAGUGGCGAAGGCGACUCCCUGG